CUGACACUAUUUAGGGUAGGAAAGGUACUUCCUGUUGCUGGGUCUCAGGCUCUUCAAAGGUGGACACCCUAGGAUUGCUUGGAAACAAGAAAAGCUCGGUCUCAACUGGGUCCUUUCCUACUUCUGUACCUCAGAAAGGAAAAAAGAUGGGUUUUGUACAAUAUAGCGCAGUGCUCUUCGGAUGGUGGACCAGCAGCAGCAGCAGCAGCCCCUAAAAGCUUGUUAAGAAUGUGGCAUCUCAGGCUGCAUCCCACCUCUGCUGAAUCCGAAGCAGCACUUUGACAAGACCUGCUGGGGAUUCGUGGGCACAGUCAAGUUUGAGAAGCUCCAACGCAGAAUGAUGCAAAUGAUGCAGCGGUGCAGCUCCAUUGUGAAUAGUUACUGUGCUAAGCUCUCCUCCAGGGAAAAUACACAAGUGUGGGGCUGCCCAUUUAUUUCUGAGCCGAGAUUCAUGGUGAGAGUCUUUUCCCUGGAAGGUUUUUGCCCUCCUCUCCUCCUGCCGAAAUUGUCACCUGAGGACACGGGAUCCACGACUGAUAAUCUGAAUUUACUAACAACGCAUUCUAAGAAAGAAUUUCUGAAGGUUAUCUUCCUAGCAAGGCGUAUUGGGGAAAAAAAGCCAAUCGGUUACGCAUUUCUGGCAAGAAUACCAUAGAAGUGAUGUAUUCUUAUGUCUCAUAUCAAGAGGUCAGUAGUCGGCCGUUUCUCCGAAGACUCCUGUUUCCAAUUACCCGAGAAUGGAAUUUGUAAACCAAGAUCUGAGUGCCAGUGAAUGUACAAUUUGGAGACAUUUAAGUUCGCUGCCCAUAAUGGAGAGGGAAGAGAAAUUGAUGAAAACGGAGAUGUGACUGGGCACUAUGAUAUUCUGAACUGGCAAGUAGGUGAUCACGGAGAGAUUGCCUUUGUGAAGGUCGGAGAAUAUAUAGUCACAAACUCUAAGUUUGAACUCAUGAUGAAAAAGAAUGCAACGAUAUUUUGGAAGACAGAAUCAGCAAAGCCUGAGAUGGCAACAUAGGAAGACACUGAACUCACCUCCUCUAUGGACACACCAAAUCUAUACCUGUUUAUAGAGCAUUUCCUCCUGAAGAAGAACUGAAGGCUGACUGAACAGCUUCUGCACAACAAAAGAUAGAGUCCACUUUGAGACUAAGAGAGAUGGAGACGUGGUAACAAAGCUUCCUCAUUUGGUGUGUACUGAUCUACGUCAUCCUGGAACCCGGAAGGGGAUUCAUCGGGGAACCCGUAUGUCGCUUUGACUGCAUCCCAUGUGCUGAUGGACAGGAGUCUCGGGAACCAGGAGGAAACCACAGGAUGCAUCUGGACCUGCUCUCAGACUUGGAGACCGGAGUGACAUAGCCCUGAAGAAGCAGGCAGGCCAAAUGCAGGCUGUUCAUACGGGGCAGUGGAGAAUCUAGACCCUCGAAGCCUCUUAGCUGAGUUCUUCAAAGUGGAAGAGAUGUAUAGAUGCCAAAGGUGGUCACAAAAUUAGCUUGGAGUUCCACGCUGGAGCCAAUUGGCUCCUUAUGGCAUCAGGCUCCCGACCUGUGGCCACUGCAUUCCCUUCCCACACUCCCCUCCCCUCCUCCUUCCCAUAUCCUCCUCUCGCUCUGUCUCCUAGACCAGCGGGAUAGUAUGUUGUAUCUGUCAGCUUCUAGCCAGAAAACCAGCGUCCUCACUGGGUAGUUCAGUAGAGGGUAUUUAGUGUGGUCAUGGAGGUUUUGGGAAAGAUGCCUGGCCAAACAGUAGACAGCUAGGCAGCUCAAAGAUUAGCAAUACCAUCCUGCUCAAGUGGCAGAUGGAGAAAGUACUAAAGCCCAGGGGGCAGGGCUACCUGGUAAGAGCUGGAACUAAGCUAGGGGGCUUGCUUGAUAGGGCCUGAAAAUAAAGAGGGAGGGGCUGGCUGGGAGAGGCUGGAAUCCUGGAGAUGUGCGAAUGCUGGAGACGUUGCCUAAAGCAGAGAGGGAAGAGAACAUCUUGUCUUCUCCCUCUCUUUUGUCCCAACAUCUUCCCCGCACCCCAGGCUCCCAUUGGCUGAACCUAGAGAGAAAUCAGUAGGGAGUCUGAGAAAUGUUGUUCGCAGGUGUCAGCCUCCUGCAACACAGAGCAGAGUUGGAGGAGGCUGAAGGAACGGAAGUGAAAGCAAAUGGAGAACUGAUCAGCACAUAGGACAGACAGACGGAGGGCUCCGGGCAUGAAUUCUAGGAUGGCAAGCUACUUUAGUUAGUCUAUGCAUGGACCCUUGUAAGACCUUAUAGGAUUAGCCUCUGGAUCCUGCAUGCCUAAAGGAAGUGGUGGGAAUCUGUGGACUCUUAGACCCAGCCCGGAUGGCGAACACAGAGGUAGGUGGUUCAGCCUGAGGAUGUGUCCUCGGGAGGAUCAACGCCAGCAUCUGUGCUGUGCAUCCUGGGCCCAUGAAUCAGAGUGCGCAUCACGUGGGAGCCGGGGGCUCAGAGAGGCCCUGCUGACACACUCCAGCCAACCGAUGCUCAGGAGGAUGGGCCUGAGAAACGAACUGACCUCCAGUUUCUCCAGGCCCGAAGAAUGGAAGGAAAACCAAAGCUGGGAGCUCCUAGGCAGGAGUUGGGAUACAGCUUGUGGAAAAGAUUUGCAGUUUGUAAAAAGAUUGUAAAGUGUGUGAGGGAGGCAGCACUGGGCAGGUCUAGAACUCUGGGCCUUUCAACGUGUCUUAAGGAGAACUGCCCAUCAGAAAUCAUGACAUGAGGAGCCUGUUAUGAACCUCAUCAUGGCAUUCCAGGACCUGGUGAGACGGAUAUGGCUUGAAUUCUGACUCUGUCAUUUACUGGCUCUGUGACCUCAACAGAGUUGUCUAGCCUUCUGCAGACUCAGUCUCUCAUCCAUAAAAUGGGGACAAUUGUAAUAUCUCAACAUUUGAGAUGAUGCAUGUAAAACACUUGUCUCUGUUUGGCAUGUAGCAAGCGCUCAAUAAACAUUGUUUGGUUUUA